rnacentral:rRNA from 1 species
GACGAACGCUGGCGGCGUGCCUAAUACAUGCAAGUCGAACGCAGUGGGGACGGGUGAGUAACACGUGGGUAACCUCCCAUCAGAGGGGAUAACACUUGGAAACAGGUGCUAAACCUAUACUGACGUAUGGACCCGCGGGGCAUUAGCUAGUUGGUGAGGUAACGGCUCACCAAGGCCACGAUGCAUAGCCGACGUGAGAGGGUGAUCGGCCACAAUGGGACGGAGACACGGCCCAGACUCCUACGGGAGGCAGCAGUAGGGAAUCUUCGGCAAUGGACGAAAGUCUGACCGAGCAACGCCGCGUGAGUGAAGAAGGUUUUCGGAUCGUAAAACUCUGUUGUUAGAGAAGCGGUAUUUAACCAGAAAGCCACGGCUAACUACGUGCCAGCAGCCGCGGUAAUUC